rnacentral:rRNA from 1 species
CCUACGGGUGGUUGCAGUGGGGAAUAUUGGACAAUGGGGGCAACCCUGAUCCAGCCAUGCCGCGUGUGUGAAGAAGGCCCUCGGGUUGUAAAGCACUUUCAGUGAGGAAGAACGCCUGGUGGUUAAUACCCAUCAGGAAAGACAUCACUCACAGAAGAAGCACCGGCUAACUCCGUGCCAGCAGCCGCGGUAAUACGGAGGGUGCGAGCGUUAAUCGGAAUUACUGGGCGUAAAGCGCGCGUAGGUGGCUUGAUAAGCCGGUUGUGAAAGCCCCGGGCUCAACCUGGGAACGGCAUCCGGAACUGUCAAGCUAGAGUGCAGGAGAGGAAGGUAGAAUUCCCGGUGUAGCGGUGAAAUGCGUAGAGAUCGGGAGGAAUACCAGUGGCGAAGGCGGCCUUCUGGACUGACACUGACACUGAGGUGCGAAAGCGUGGGUAGCAAACAGGAUUAGAUACCCGUGUAGUC